rnacentral:misc_RNA from 1 species
CAGUCAGGAUGAACGGUGUGGCUGACCU